rnacentral:rRNA from 1 species
GAAUCUGCCGAAAGGUUCGGGACAACCACUGGAAACGGUGGCUAAUACCGGAUGUGCCGCAACGUGAAAGGGGAAACCCGCCUGAAGAUGAGCUCGCGUCUGAUUAGCUAGUUGGUGAGGUAAAGGCUCACCAAGGCGACGAUCGGUAGCUGGUCUGAGAGGAUGACCAGCCACACUGGGACUGAGACACGGCCCAGACUCCUACGGGAGGCAGCAGUGGGGAAUUUUCCGCAAUGGGCGAAAGCCUGACGGAGCAAGACCGCGUGAGGGAAGAAGGCUCUUGGGUCGUAAACCUCUUUUGUCAGGGAAGAACACAAUGACGGUACCUGACGAAUCAGCCUCGGCUAACUCCGUGCCAGCAGCCGCGGUAAUACGGAGGAGGCAAGCGUUAUCCGGAAUUAUUGGGCGUAAAGCGUCCGUAGGUGGCUAGUCAAGUCUGCGGUCAAAGACUGGGGCUUAACCCUGGAAAGGCCGUGGAAACUGACGAGCUAGAGUGCAGUAGGGGUAGAGGGAAUUCCCGGUGUAGCGGUGAAAUGCGUAGAGCUCGGGAAGAACAUCGGUGGCGAAAGCGCUCUACUGGACUGCAACUGACACUCAGGGACGAAAGCUAGGGGAGCG